GUGAUCUGCCUGCCUCAGCCUCCAAAAGUGCUGGGAUUACAGGUGUGAGCCACUGCACCAGGCCGGAUUCUUCUUCUUUUUUUUUUUUUUCUUUUUGAGACAGAGUCUUGCUCUGUUGCCCAGGCUAGUGCAGUGGUGGCAUAUCGGCUCACUGCAACCUUCGCCUCCUGGGUUCAAGUGAUUCUCAUGCCUUGCCCCGCCAAGGAUUCUUCUUUUCAAUGGAAACAAUGAUAAAUAUCUUGCCUACUCCCCAAGUCUGUUGAAAAAGGAGUAAGUGGCCGGGCGCCGUGGCUCAUGCCUGUAAUCCCAGCACUUUGGGAGGC
rnacentral:lncRNA from 10 species